GCGCCGCCCGCGCCGGACCAGCUGUACAAGAUUCGUCGAGACGGCUCCGUCAGGGAGCAGCAUAGUGAAAAAGUGAAGUGUACGGUGUGUGGUUAUGCGAACCACAAAGCGGAAUCGUGUCGUUUUGCCAACUAUACCUGUAGGAAGUGCAAUAAAAAAGGUCAUUUGCGUCGCGUGUGCAAAAAUGUUAAUUAUGUUGCUACAAAUCCGAGUGAGGUAAAUGAGGGCGGCGAAGACGACGACGUGUUUACAAACUGAAGCGCACGGUGGAAAGAACACUAAGUUUCUGCCUGAUCAAUCAGUGUUAUACAAAAAAUAUCUUAACAAUAAUAAGUUUAUCUGGUCGAAAGGUAUAGUUAUUAAGGAAAUUGUAACUAUGUUAUAUUUAAUUAAGGAUUGUUUUACAUCUGUUCUGGUUCGUAAACAUAAAAAUCAAUUGUUACAUUAUAAGGGGCCGCCAAUAAACUGUAGCAAUAAUAAUUGUAGUAAACCGCACAAUCGAUACCCAUCAUGAGGCAACAGUGUUUGAUGACAUCACAAUAUCGGGGCCACCGAGUGACUCAUUGUCAUCUACACAAUCGCAGUUUACAAAUGAGUCUCUCACUGAAGGGAGAGGAGGGAACGAGAUGCCGCCACCUGCAUCUGUUGAUGGCGUCGCAACGCCACCACCUGCAUCCGUUGACGACGUCACAACGCCGCGCGAUUCUCCUUCAUGGUGUGGCGUAACGAUGUCAAGAGGAGUGCGACGACCGCCAUCUGAAGGUGACGAUGAGUUCUACGAUGUUGAUGAAAGUCCAGAUGAGAGAAUUGCAGAGACUACAAAUAUCGGAAGAUCUAGACGUAAUCGUCCCCCGGUCGAUUAUAAAAGGUUCUUCUAAAUAGGUACCUUCCUGUAGCUAUUGGGGGAGGAAUGUUGCAUAUUGGAUCGCAGGCCGCCUUUAUACAUGUAUGUAUAGCUAUAGAUAUACGAUGCGUGGCUGCGCCCGCGUUCUAACGUCUCAAUAAUAAAUCAGUGCGUUGACAGCA